CCGUGGGACUUUCUGCCACAGUGGGAAAUGCCCUCGUGGCAACGCUUACCUGGGGUUGUGUCGUUUCGGGUAUAAUUGCUGCAGAUGGUUGUAGUGUGGCUAAUUGCAGAGAAUCUCCAGGGAUGAUUGCUUUUGGCAUUGUUGGAUUCGGGGAAUUGUUGUACCAGUCAUCAAGGAUUUGUCAUUCUUCUCUCAAUAAAAGCAAGAUUUAGGAAGUU